rnacentral:rRNA from 1 species
UACGAAGGGGCUAGCGUUGCUCGGAAUCACUGGGCGUAAAGGGUGCGUAGGCGGGUCUUUAAGUCAGGGGUGAAAUCCUGGAGCUCAACUCCAGAACUGCCUUUGAUACUGAAGAUCUUGAGUUCGGGAGAGGUGAGUGGAACUGCGAGUGUAGAGGUGAAAUUCGUAGAUAUUCGCAAGAACACCAGUGGCGAAGGCGGCUCA